UCGUGCCCCAGCAGGUAAAUUUAACAUGAUGGAUUUUUCCAAGCUACCCAAAUUACUUGAUGAAGAUAAAGAAAGCACAUUUGGUUAUGUGCAUGGAGUCUCAGGACCUGUGGUUACAGCCUGUGACAUGGCAGGUGCAGCCAUGUAUGAGCUGCUGAGAGUAGGCCACAGCAAGUUGGUUGGAGAGAUUAUUCGAUUGGAAGGUGAUAUGGCCACUAUUCAGGUGUAUGAAGAAACAUCUGGUGUGUCUGUUGGAGAUCCUGUACUUCGCACUCGUAAACCCCUCUCAGUGCAGCUUGGUCUGGCAUUAUGGGAGCCAUUUUUGAUGGUAUUCAAAGACCUUUGUCAAAUAUCAGCAGUCAGACCCAAAGCAUCUAUAUCCCCAGAGGAGUAAAUGUGUCUGCUCUUAGCAGAGAUAUCAAAUGGGAUUUUACACCUUGCAAAAACCUACAGGUGGGUAGUCAUAUUACUGGUGGAGAUAUUUAUGGAAUUGUCAAUGAGAAUUCCCUCAUCAAACACAAAAUCAUGUUGCCCUCACGAAAUAGAGGAACUGUAACUUACAUUGCUCCACCUGGGAAUUAUGAUACCUCUGAUGUUGUCUUGGAAUUUGAAUUUGAAGGUGUAAAGGAGAAGUUCAGUAUGGGUCCAAUAUGGCCUGUACGUCAAGUUCGGCCUGUCACUGAGAAGCUGCUGGCCAAUCAUCCUCUGUUGACUGGCCAGAGAGUCCUUGAUGCUCUUUUCCCGUGUGUACAGGGAGGAACUACUGCUAUCCCUGGGGCUUUUGGCUGUGGUAAGACAGUGAUAUCGCAGUCUCUAUCCAAGUAUUCCAACAGUGAUGUAAUCAUCUAUGUAAGAUGUGGUGAAAGAGGAAAUGAGAUGUCUGAAGUUCUCCGGGAUUUCCCAGAGCUCACAAUGGAAGUUGAUGGUAAGGUAGAGUCCAUUAUGAAGAGGACAGCUUUGGUAGCCAAUACCUCUAAUAUGCCUGUUGCUGCUAGAGAAGCCUCUAUUUAUACUGGAAUUACACUGUCAGAAUAUUUCCGUGACAUGGGCUAUCAUGUCAGUAUGAUGGCUGACUCUACCUCUAGAUGGGCUGAGGCCCUUAGAGAAAUCUCUGGUCGUUUAGCUGAAAUGGCUGCAGAUAGUGGAUAUCCUGCAUAUCUUGGUGCCCGUCUGGCCUCUUUUUAUGAGCGAGCAGGCAGAGUGAAAUAUCUUGGAAAUCCUGAAAGAGAAGGAAGUGUCAGCAUUGUAGGAGCAGUUUCUCCACCUGGUGGUGAUUUUUCUGAUCCAGUUACAUCUGCUACUCUUGGUAUUGUUCAGAUGUUCUGGGGCUUAGAUAAGAAAAACUAGCUCAACAGUAAGCAUUUCCCCUCUGUCAAUUGGCUCAUAAGCUACAGCAAGUACAUGCUGCCUUGGAUGAGUUACUAUGACAACACUACAGGAUUUGUUCCUCUGAGGACCAAAGCAAAGGAGAUUCUGCAGAAGAAGAAGACCUGGCAGAAUUGUACAGCUUGUGGAAAAGUCUUCUUUAGCAGAACAGAUAAAAUUACCCUGGAGUAGCAAAAACUUAUCAAAGAUGACUUCCUACAACAAAAUGGUAUACUCCUUAUGACAAGUUUCGGCCAUUCUAUAAACAGUAGGGAUGUCCAACAUGAUGCAUUUUAGAUAUGGCCGUAGAGCUGGAACCACUGCCCAGUAGUGAUAUAAAAUCACAUGUCCAUUAUCCGUGAGACAAUGGGAGAGAUCCUGUAUAGACUUUCCUCCAUGAAACUAAAGGAUCCAGUGAAAGAUGGUGAGGCAAAGAUCAAGAGCGACUAUGCACAGCUUCUUGAAGAUACUGCGAAUGCAUUCCGUAGCCUUGAAAUUAGAACUGUGACUUCUUUCCUCCUUUGCCUCAGCAAGCUUAUGUGA